rnacentral:rRNA from 1 species
AACGUAGGACGCAAGCGUUAUCCGGAAUCACUGGGCGUAAAGCGCACGUAGGCGGGUCGUUAAGUCGGGGGUGAAAUCCUGGAGCUCAACUCCAGAACUGCCUUCGAUACUGGCGACCUUGAGUCCGGGAGAGGUGAGUGGAACUCCGAGUGUAGAGGUGAAAUUCGUAGAUAUUCGGAAGAACACCUGCGGCGAAGGCGGGUAGCUGGGCCGACACUGACGCUGAGGCGCGAAAGCCAGGGGAGCGAACAGG